GACGAACGCUGGCGGCAUGCCUAAUACAUGCAAGUCGAGCGGAGUUGACGAGAAGCUUGCUUCUCUGAUACUUAGCGGCGGACGGGUGAGUAACACGUAGGCAACCUGCCUUUCAGUUUGGGAUAACUUCCGGAAACGGAUGCUAAUACCGAAUACAUCAUCUUCUGGCAUCAGAGAAUGAGGAAAGACGGCGCAAGCUGUCACUGAGAGAUGGGCCUGCGGCGCAUUAGCUAGUUGGUGAGGUAAUGGCUCACCAAGGCGACGAUGCGUAGCCGACCUGGGAGGGUGAGCGGCCACACUGGGACUGAGACACGGCCCAGACUCCUACGGGAGGCAGCAGUAGGGAAUAUUCCGCAGUGGGCGAAAGCCUGAUGGGGCAAUGCCGCGUGAGUGAUGAAGGUUUUCGGAUCGUAAAGCUCUGUUGCCAGGGAAGAACGUCCGGGUGAGUAACUGCACCCGGAGUGACGGUACCUGAGAAGAAAGCCCCGGCUAACUACGUGCCAGCCGCCGCCGUAA
rnacentral:rRNA from 1 species